rnacentral:rRNA from 1 species
CCUACGGGAGGCAGCAGUGAGGAUUUUUUGCCCAAUGGGGGAAACCCUGACUCAGCAACGCCGCGUGAGUGAUGAAGGCCUUUGGAUCGUAAAGUUCUGUCAGGUGGGAAGAAGUUUUUAUGGAUUAAUACGGUUUGGUAUUGACGGUACCAUCAAAGGAAAGCACCGGCUAAACUCCGUGCCAGCAGCCGCGGUAAUACGGGGGGUGCAAGCGUUUUUCGGAAUUAUUGGGCGUAAAGGGCGCGUAGGCGGUUUUUUAAGUCAGAUGUGAAAGCCCGGGGCUCAACCCUGGAAGUGCAUUUGAAACUGCCAGGCUUGAGUAUGGGAGGGGGAAGUGGAAUUCCUGGUGUAGAGGUGAAAUUCGUAGAUAUCAGGAGGAACACCGGUGGCGAAGGCGGCUUCCUGGCCCAAUACUGACGCUGAGGUGCUAUUAGCUUGGGG